GUAUUUUUGUAAAUAAAGAGUCGGGCCUGCUCGGUGAAUAAAAUUGUUUUAACAGCUGCGGUAUUUUAACUGUACUAAGGUAGCAUAAUAAUUUGCCUUAUAAUUUGAGGCUAGAAUGAAUGGUUUGACGAAGGUUAAUCUGUCUCUACCCUAUUUUUUAGAAUUUAAUUUUUAAAGUGAAAAAGCUUGUAUUUUUUAAAGGGACGAGAAGACCCUACUGAGCUUAUAAUUUUAUUACUAUUUUAUUCUUAAUGUAUGUAGUAGUAUAUAAAUUUUAAUUGGGGUGAUUAAGGAAUAAAUAAUGAAAUUAAGUAACUUCCUUAGGUUAAAUAUUGUUAAAUAAAGUAACCAAUUUUAUUGCUUAUAAUAUAGUUACCAUAGGGAUAACAGCGUAAUUUAUUUAGAGAGUUCUUAUUGAAAAAUAAGAUUGCGACCUCGAUGUUGGAUUAAAGUAACCUUAAGGUGCAGAAGCUUUAGAAGGUAAAUCUGUUCGAUUUUUAAAACUUUACA
rnacentral:rRNA from 1 species